rnacentral:rRNA from 1 species
UCCGCGCUCCGCCGCUCUAGUGUUUGAUCCUGGCUCAGGAUGAACGCUGGCGGCGUGCCUAAUACAUGCAAGUCGAGCGAACAGACAAGGAGCUUGCUCCUUUGACGUUAGCGGCGGACGGGUGAGUAACACGUGGGUAACCUACCUAUAAGACUGGGAUAACUUCGGGAAACCGGAGCUAAUACCGGAUAAUAUUUCGAACCGCAUGGUUCGAUAGUGAAAGAUGGUUUUGCUAUCACUUAUAGAUGGACCCGCGCCGUAUUAGCUAGUUGGUAAGGUAACGGCUUACCAAGGCGACGAUACGUAGCCGACCUGAGAGGGUGAUCGGCCACACUGGAACUGAGACACGGUCCAGACUCCUACGGGAGGCAGCAGUAGGGAAUCUUCCGCAAUGGGCGAAAGCCUGACGGAGCAACGCCGCGUGAGUGAUGAAGGUCUUCGGAUCGUAAAACUCUGUUAUUAGGGAAGAACAUACGUGUAAGUAACUGUGCACGUCUUGACGGUACCUAAUCAGAAAGCCACGGCUAACUACGUGCCAGCAGCCGCGGUAAUACGUAGGUGGCAAGCGUUAUCCGGAAUUAUUGGGCGUAAAGCGCGCGUAGGCGGUUUUUUAAGUCUGAUGUGAAAGCCCACGGCUCAACCGUGGAGGGUCAUUGGAAACUGGAAAACUUGAGUGCAGAAGAGGAAAGUGGAAUUCCAUGUGUAGCGGUGAAAUGCGCAGAGAUAUGGAGGAACACCAGUGGCGAAGGCGACUUUCUGGUCUGUAACUGACGCUGAUGUGCGAAAGCGUGGGGAUCAAACAGGAUUAGAUACCCUGGUAGUCCACGCCGUAAACGAUGAGUGCUAAGUGUUAGGGGGUUUCCGCCCCUUAGUGCUGCAGCUAACGCAUUAAGCACUCCGCCUGGGGAGUACGACCGCAAGGUUGAAACUCAAAGGAAUUGACGGGGACCCGCACAAGCGGUGGAGCAUGUGGUUUAAUUCGAAGCAACGCGAAGAACCUUACCAAAUCUUGACAUCCUUUGACAACUCUAGAGAUAGAGCCUUCCCCUUCGGGGGACAAAGUGACAGGUGGUGCAUGGUUGUCGUCAGCUCGUGUCGUGAGAUGUUGGGUUAAGUCCCGCAACGAGCGCAACCCUUAAGCUUAGUUGCCAUCAUUAAGUUGGGCACUCUAAGUUGACUGCCGGUGACAAACCGGAGGAAGGUGGGGAUGACGUCAAAUCAUCAUGCCCCUUAUGAUUUGGGCUACACACGUGCUACAAUGGACAAUACAAAGGGCAGCGAAACCGCGAGGUCAAGCAAAUCCCAUAAAGUUGUUCUCAGUUCGGAUUGUAGUCUGCAACUCGACUACAUGAAGCUGGAAUCGCUAGUAAUCGUAGAUCAGCAUGCUACGGUGAAUACGUUCCCGGGUCUUGUACACACCGCCCGUCAAGAUGUAGA